rnacentral:rRNA from 1 species
CGCUGGCGGCAGGCUUAACACAUGCAAGUCGAACGAUAUAGUGGCAGACGGGUGAGUAACGCGUGGGAACCUACCUUAUUCUACGGAAUAACAGUUAGAAAUGACUGCUAAUACCGUAUACGCCCUUCGGGGGAAAGAUUUAUCGGAGUAGGAUGGGCCCGCGUUGGAUUAGCUAGUUGGUGGGGUAAUGGCUCACCAAGGCGACGAUCCGUAACUGGUCUGAGAGGAUGAUCAGUCACACUGGAACUGAGACACGG